CCUACGGGGGGCUGCAGUGGGGAAUAUUGGACAAUGGGGGGAACCCUGAUCCAGCCAUGCCGCGUGUGUGAAGAAGGCCCUCGGGUUGUAAAGCACUUUCAGUGAGGAAGAACGCCUGGUGGUUAAUACCCAUCAGGAAAGACAUCACUCACAGAAGAAGCACCGGCUAACUCCGUGCCAGCAGCCGCGGUAAUACGGAGGGUGCGAGCGUUAAUCGGAAUUACUGGGCGUAAAGCGCGCGUAGGUGGCUUGAUAAGCCGGUUGUGAAAGCCCCGGGCUCAACCUGGGAACGGCAUCCGGAACUGUCAAGCUAGAGUGCAGGAGAGGAAGGUAGAAUUCCCGGUGUAGCGGUGAAAUGCGUAGAGAUCGGGAGGAAUACCAGUGGCGAAGGCGGCCUUCUGGACUGACACUGACACUGAGGUGCGAAAGCGUGGGUAGCAAACAGGAUUAGAUACCCCUAGUAGUC
rnacentral:rRNA from 1 species